GCUGGUUAUCUGGAUUUCCUUCUGCUCAUCUGAAUUCCUUAUUCUACUCGUACCCAACUUGAGAUCUUUUCUUUUUUUUAAUUUUAUAGAUUCAAUCCCCAAUUGUAUAAUACAAUUUUAUGGGUAUUCCCAUUUCUUGAUAUACACAACACAACACAAAUUGGGGUUUCUUUUCAAGAUGAAGAUGAGACUCAGAAAACCAGUUUUGGCGUUUCUUUUUCUGACGGUUCUUGCCCCCAUUGUUCUUUACACCGACAAACUCUCUACCUUGUCUGCCGAUGAUUUCUUACAGGACCCCUCCUCCUCAUCACUUGUAACUCACUCAUUCUCUUUCCUUUUUCAUUCUCAAUUUCUAAUUUCUUCAUCCUUACUCUUUCUUUCAUUUCCAGACACUGAAUCCCGAUGCUAGGGCAUUAAAUUUGCUUCCUCAGGAGUCAUCCACAGCCAUCAAAGAACCUUUGGGUAUUGUUUAUUCUGAAAAUUCCACUCAAUCUACCGAAACUGAAAAAGCCAGGAGAACUAGACAGCUUAACGAAGAAUCUAAUGGCAUCAAUAGCAAUGAUAAUCGAUCCAACCCCAUCAUCAGACAGGUAACUCAUGAACACAAGAAAAGUGAAAAGUUGAAGGUGUCGCUGUUAACGGAACCAAAACAAGAGCGGCAAUCAGGUGAAAAGAAACCUGCAAAGGCCAAAAGGAUCCAACCUGAUGUUGUAGCUGAUGCUCGUGUUCGGCAAAUGAAGGAUCAGUUGAUUAGAGCGAGAGUUUACCUUUCCCUUUCGGCAACAAGGACCAAUGCUCAUUUUAUUAGGGAACUUCGGGUACGUAUGAAGGAAGUCCAAAAAGCACUUGGUGAUGCAACCAAAGACUCUGACCUCCACAAGAAUGCAUUUGACAAACUGAGGGCAAUGGAGCAAACAUUAGCAAAAGGCAAGCAAAUACAAGAUGACUGCACUGCUGUUGUGAAAAAAUUGCGUGCUAUUAUUCACUCAACCGAAGAACAACUAAUUGUCCACAAAAAACAAACCUUGUUUUUGACUCACUUAACUGCCAAGACGGUUCCUAAAGGUCUCCAUUGUCUUCCCUUACGCCUUUCAGCCGAUUACCAUUCCUUAAAUUCUUCUGCGCAGCAAUUCUUAAAUGAAGAAAAGUUACAAGACCCCAAGCUGUUCCACUAUGCAUUAUUUUCAGAUAAUGUGUUAGCUACGGCUGUUGUCGUUAAUUCAACUGUUUCCAAUGCAAAGGAUUCUUCAAAACAUGUGUUCCACAUUGUGACGGACAGGCUUAAUUACGCGGCAAUGAGGAUGUGGUUUCUUGCAAACCCACCAGGCAAUGCUACUAUGGAGGUGCAGAAUGUUGAGGAAUUUACAUGGCUGAACGCGAGUUACAGCCCAGUUCUCCAGCAGUUGGCUUCUCGGAAGAUGAUUGAUUAUUAUUUCAAAAGCCAUCAUGGGGAGUUGGAUCCAAAUUUGAAGUUCCGAAACCCGAAAUAUUUGUCGAUUAUGAAUCAUCUUCGGUUUUACCUGCCAGAGAUAUUUCCAAAGCUUAAUAAAGUGGUGUUCUUGGAUGAUGACAUAGUGGUUCAAAAGGAUUUGAGCGGGCUGUGGGCUCUAGAUAUGAAAGGGAAAGUGAAUGGCGCUGUUGAGACUUGUGGGGAAAGCUUCCAUCGGUUCGAUCGCUACCUGAAUUUCUCAAAUCCUUUGAUUGCUAAAAAUUUCGAUCCACAUGCUUGUGGAUGGGCGUAUGGAAUGAAUGUAUUUGAUUUGGAGGAAUGGAAGAAGCAAAACAUUACAGGGAUUUACCACAGGUGGCAAAAUUUGAAUGAGGAGAGAGAGCUUUGGAAGUUAGGGACACUACCACCUGGGUUGAUAACGUUUUACAAGCGAGUAUUCCCAUUGGAGAAAUCAUGGCAUGUUCUGGGGCUUGGGUAUAACCCAAAUGUGAAGGAGAAGGAGAUUGAAAGGGCAGCUGUGAUUCAUUACAAUGGGAACUUGAAACCAUGGCUCGAGAUUGGGAUAGCAAAGUUCCGAGGAUACUGGAGCAGGUUUGUGGACUACGAUCAGGCAUACAUGCGCGAAUGCAACAUGAAUCCAUGAAGAAGAAAGGCAUCCAUCAUUACUAGUAUAGAUAUGAUAUUCAUACAUACGUACUGUAGCUAUUCUUUCAAUUGUUUCUUGGUUGAGCUUCCUUUCCUUGGUGUCUUGUCUUGAAUCUUUAUAAUUUUUGCUUGUAAAUGACAAGAGAAGAACAAAAAAGGGUUUUUGGAGUUGAGAAAGUUUCCUAUUUGGGAAUGCAA